UUUAACUCGUGAUUUAGCGCGAUUUGGAGUUGGAUAUUGAAUAUGCUGAAGUUGAACAAAAGAUAGAUCAAGGUAAGAUCUAUCCUUUUUGUUGGUUUCGUUCGCAUGCAUGAUUUUUUUACUCUUUUAGAUUAGUUCAUAACUAUGUGUUAUCUGUUGUGUUAGGCAUUAUUUCAUCACCUUUUGUGUCAUUUAAAGCGCCAGGAGUAGGAUUUGCCUAGCGAAGUGAAUUACGAAGUUGAUCAAUGUAUGAGCUUUGCAAUAAAAUGAUUUUUUUUGUGCAUGCACGAUGUUAAUUAGUUAGUCUUUUAGCUAGUCAUUAGCUAUGCGAUGUUAGUGCUUAAAGUUAGAAAUAAUUUCAAAUUACAUAUGUUGCAUUUAUACUAUUUUUUUAGAAGAGUAGGUUGAAGAUGUUGUAUCAAUGUUAGCGGCAUCCAUUAGUAUUAAUCGUAAUUAGUACCUUUAUUGAACGUUUAGGUUCGGUUCGAGCCGGAAUUCGGACAACAAAUAUUUGACGGUAUUGUAGAUAAACAUUAGGCUUUUAAAAUGCAUAAAUUUAGUUUGACAUACGAGAAGAUCUUAAUAUGGUAAUUAAGAAAAAGUUUGUACAUACUGUAAUUGUUCAUUGCAUGUGCUAUGUUAUUUCAUGUGGUAUGUUUAUUAAUAAGUAUAUAGUUAGGAAACCGUAGGUCUACUUGGUUAUGUCGCAAUAAUCUAAAUUUUCUGUGUUAAGAUUACAUGCUAAUGUACUUAAUGAUGUAUGUAAUUAGGUAAAAUAAUUUAUCUUAGUAGCAAACAAGGAGGAGAUGAAUGAUUGAAGAAUUUGUAUUUCAAUCUUCGCUGUCCUUUUUGAGGUGAUGACCACAUACAUGCAAGUGCUAUUUUCAUACUUUUGGUAACAGAAAGAAAAAUCCGUGUGUAAUAUUUAAUUUUCAUACUUUUCAUACUCGUGAUGCACCUUUAGAUAUUUAAUUUAAAUUGAAUCUCUUUGUAUUUUUGUAAUCGUGAUGUUAUCUUCAGAUAAUUAAUGUAAAUUGUAUCUCUCUGUAUUUUUAGGUUAAUUUG
rnacentral:lncRNA from 1 species